GAGGGUAUAGCUCAGUGGUAGAGUGCCUGCUUAGCAUGCACGAGGUCGUGGGUUCAAUCCGCGGUAUCUCCA
rnacentral:tRNA from 1 species